rnacentral:lncRNA from 1 species
ACCUUGGCCUCCCAAAGUGUUGGGAUUACAGGUGUGAGCCACUGCACCUGGCCGGUCUCUGUCUUUUAGAACCUUAUGGUGAUGGAACACAGAGCAGGCACUUGCUGGCUAUUAGCUGACUGCCCAAAUGAAUGCACUAUCAGACACUGCAGGAAAAAGGAUAAAGAGAACACUUUCAAGUUUCUCUUUCUUCAGUUCUUUGCUACUCAUCUACUCUGUCUUUUAAUGGGCCUCUUCCACUUCCUCCUUCUGUGCCUCACCAUGGGUCACUGUGGUCAGGGAGACUCAGCUCUUUGGCCUAGUAUGUAAAUCUAAAAGCUGUGCAAUGGUUCUAUUUAAAUUGGAACAAUUCAUGCAGCCAGUCUUUACUGAACAUGUACGUGCCUAGGAAGUCUCAGGAAUGGGUAAGUGCUCCUGCUCCCACACAGUCUACAGACCUGGGUGCAAUGGUGAGAAAGACCUCAGUAAAGCAAAGGAAUUACGAAAGGGAGAGGGAAAACCAAGUUGAAUGAGUUGGAGACUCCAUAGAGAUGGGCUUCUAGAAUAAAAUGGCACUGACUUAGCUGAAGGACUGAAAAAGGAAGCUGAACUUGCAACAUGUGAGAACAUUUUGUGCAAAGGAGACAACCUGGAGCUCCAGAGGACCUACACUCAGUGAAUGGGCUUGGUCCUACAUCCAAAUAUACAUGAGGACAUGCAGAGAAAUGUUCAAGUAUAUAGACGUCAGCAGACAUCUGCAGAAAUAUUUUAAGCCAGCUUUUGAUUGCUGACCAACCUGUGGUACAGGUAACAGGACUCCUACUGGGUACCAAGUCAUUCACCUACAGGCCUACCUUUCCCCUCUCUUUGCUUCAACCCAGAAGACCUCAAGGCAAAUAAACUGAUUCCUGGAUCCUGAGUGGUUCCUGGUUCACGUGGAAGGACAUCUCUGAAGCUUCAACUCAGUGAUUUACUUCCCCAAACCUAUUCCUUUCAUCCUUACAAUGAAACCACCUGUGUAACAACCCGAUUCUUUGAACGUUUUCUGGGAGUCCAGAGCAAGCCGAAACUUUCAGUGAACAUCCUAAGGCAAUCUGUAUUGAACCAGGUUCACUCCAAAAACCCAGUUGGGGCCAUUUCUCAAGGAGCUCAGAACAACCCGAGGAAUGGAUUCAUGGGCUGUCCUAAAGUAGCCUUACUCACAGGUAUCAGAGAAUUCACUUGCUUCUAGGCCCUUGGAUUGCUUUAAUUCUUUCAAUUUUCUUUUGUUCAACAACAUAAAAAAUAUAUUCUACUUAUUGCAAUUUUUACAUGUCACAUUCUGAAUAUUAUCCUGUACCAGUGGCUUCUUGGUUGUUAUAUAACUUGUUUGGUAAAGUUAUGCUGACAGCUUUAAUGAGGCGAUGUCAUGUGAUGCACGAAUUUCCCCUGGUGCUGAAUGUGGACAUUAGCAACUCAGUAUCGUGUGUUAGGGCAGUGGAGAAUCAGGGUGUAUCUAAUAAAUUCCUUCAUGGAGCUCUCAUGCCAUUAAGCAGAA